GCAAGUAUGCAAACAAGACUGACUCUUCCUUUCCACUGGAGCUUUGGGUAAUUGCUCUGACAAUUCUAUGAUUUGCUGAAGCCACGGAAAAUCAGUUUUAAAACAGGAUUUCUACCCCUGGCUCACUACAUGACAAAUAAUUUUAUCCUGUAAUCUUCUGAUGUUAAACAAAGAUGGCCCUCAAUGUAAUUGUUACAGUGCCUCCUCCCCACUUCUGUUAGCUGUUGCUUCUCUGCCUCCCAUGAGUUUAGUGUAAUCCCAGAACUUUGGGAGACCAAGGCGGGCAGAUCACUUGAGGUCAGGAGUCAGAGACCAGCCUGGCCAACAUGGCGAAACCCCAUCUCUACUGAAAAUACAAAAAUUAGCCAGGCAUGGUGGCUUGCGUCUGUAAUCCCAGCUACUUGAGAGGCUGAGACACAAGAAUCGCUUGAAUCCUGGAGGCAGAGGUUGCAGUGAGCUGAGAUAGUGCCACUACACUCCAGCCUGGGAGACAGAGCGAGACCCUGUCUCAAAACAACAAAAAACAAAAACCGAACAAACAAAAACUGUAAUUGCUGAAACGCUCUUUUUCAUCAAUCAUAUAUAUUGAACCACGGUCACGAAAACAUGGGAAAAGUGUAAUUUCUGCCUCUGAGGAACUCACAGUCUAGUGGGAGACACCAUUUAUUCAUCCAUUCUUUCAUGAAAUACACAUUGAGAAUGUAACACACCCUGGGCAAAGGAGAGGUCAUUUGACUAUGACACAAGACAAUAGUCAUAGUCUUUGCUCUCAUGGAAUUCACAGCCUAGCCAUGGAGAUUAAAAAUAAAAAGAUCUAAUAGAAUAAAGAGUAGUAGAUUUAAAAACACUGGAAACCCAGUGUGCAGUAAAACUAAAAAAGAGGGCUACCUAACCUAGUGUGAGAGGUGAGGUAGAGGUUAGGGUGAGAAAGGAUGGUAUAGGAAGGCUUUCUGGAAAAUUUCAAGAUAAAUCUUGAGGAUAAGUCAGAAUUAUACAGUCCAAGCUCACUGCAGUUAAAUCUUCAGUCUCCAGCACUGCACUUGGGAAAGCGUCAAGGAGUUGAAUGUAUAUGUAAUUGGAGUGCCAGAAGAAGAGAACUGAGAGAGAGGGGCAGAACAGCUCAUGAGGGGGAAAACCCACUACAUACAAACAAGAAUACUGCAGACUCCUCAUCAGAAUCUAUGCUACCUGUAAAGGCUUGUAAAAGCACAGAGCUGCUCUCACCAUGCAGCCAAAGAAGAAAUGAGGAUAUCGGUCCUAUAACUGCAAGGAACUGAAUGCUGCCAACCACCUGAACGGACUUGGGCUACUGAGAUCCAUUAUCUACUAUAUGGUCAGAAGAUUCUGAAGGCAUGAAGACAUACUUCUCUGGGCCCUGGGAGGCUUCUGACAGGAGGAGUCACAUGCCUAGGAAGUAUCCUAACAGGAUGAUGCAGCAUGAAGGCCCCCCUCAGAUGCUGGUGCAAUGAUCUUGGACUUCCCAACCUCCAGAACCAUGAGCCAAACAAAUUUCUAUUGUUUAUAAAUUACCCCGUCUCAAGUAUUCUGUUAUAGCAACACAACUGGACUAAGACAGAGGGUUACACGUAUCUUUCACAGGAAUUCCUUGGGGCUUAAUACAAAUCCUUGAGAGUUCUAGCCCAGAUGCAGCCUAGAAAUGUGAAGAUGAAGGAGGUAGGUAGUAGGGUUGUUAUUAAUCCUAGGGGAAACCCUCCACUAUGGGAUUCUGAAAUCAGCAGAUAAAUGCUGCAGCCCCCAGACUUGUGAAGAAAUUUUUGAGAUUCAUCUUCUCUGGUUCUUCAGCACAUCACCAAGGCAUGGACCUGCAGUUGGCUCCAGCUAUAACUAGCUCAAUGAUGCAUCCUUCACUGUUUUUCUUUCUUUCCCCAUUUUUCUCUGUAUGUUUCCUUACUUUAGCUUCCUGGGAUCAACUCCCAAAUAAGCUACCUGAAGCCAACUGUUUGCCCAAUACACUUUCUUCAGGAAACCCAGUCUGAGACAUAAGAAAACAAAUCAAAUGCUAAUUCAGUGGUUCAGUUGGUAAAAAUAACAGAGACUCAGCCUAGUUGGCACUAGUGGAGAUAAAGAAAAGAGGACAACUUUGUUAUGCAUUUUAUAGACAGUCAUGAGGCAUGCAAAUUGGUGUAAUGUAUGCAGAAAAAGAAAGGGAAAUUUUCAGUGUGAUACUACAGUUAGUCCACUGUAUACCUAGAAUUGUCUUUUUCAGAGAAAGAUGGUGGCCUUUGGAAAAGGUACAGAUUUGGGAGGAAGAUCGUUAAUUCAAUUUGGGCAUGUUAUGUCCAAACUACAUUAAAUACUUGAGAACUAUUUCUUUAAUAAUGGAUGAGUGAAGUCAGUUCAUUUCCAAGCUUCUUAUUUGUCUUAUCUGUGAAAGAAAAAUUGUGAUGUCUAGUACCCAGAUAUGUAAAAAGUAAAUGUAAUCUACCACAUUAAAGCUCAAAAUGCUCGAUGUUUUUGCAAAUAUAAAAUAAUGUGACUUACUUUAAAGAUAAUAAAUUAAAUAUUAAACAUGGC
rnacentral:lncRNA from 1 species